rnacentral:rRNA from 1 species
UACAGAGGUCCCAAGCGUUUGUUCGGAUUCACUGGGCGUAAAGGGUGCGCAGGUGGGUUUGCAAGUUCGAUGUGAAAGCCCCGGGCUUAACCUGGGAAUGGCGGUUGAAACUAGCAGACUAGAAUCUGGCAGAGGGGGGUGGAAUCCACGUGUAGCAGUGAAAUGCGUAGAGAUGUGGAGGAACACGAUGGCGAAGGCAGCCCCCUGGGCUGAGAUUGACGCUCGAGGC